AGAUUGAACGCUGGCGGCAGGCCUAACACAUGCAAGUCGAGCGGUAGAGAGGUGCUUGCAUCUCUUGAGAGCGGCGGACGGGUGAGUAAAGCCUAGGAAUCUGCCUGGUAGUGGGGGAUAACGCUCGGAAACGGACGCUAAUACCGCAUACGUCCUACGGGAGAAAGCAGGGGACCUUCGGGCCUUGCGCUAUCAGAUGAGCCUAGGUCGGAUUAGCUAGUUGGUGAGGUAAUGGCUCACCAAGGCGACGAUCCGUAACUGGUCUGAGAGGAUGAUCAGUCACACUGGAACUGAGACACGGUCCAGACUCCGUACGGGAGCAG
rnacentral:rRNA from 1 species